UGGGGAAUAUUGCACAAUGGGCGCAAGCCUGAUGCAGCAACGCCGCGUGAACGAUGAAGGUCUUCGGAUCGUAAAGUUCUGUUGCAGGGGAAGAUAAUGACGGUACCCUGUGAGGAAGCCCCGGCUAACUACGUGCCAGCAGCCGCGGUAAUACGUAGGGGGCUAGCGUUAUCCGGAUUUACUGGGCGUAAAGGGUGCGUAGGUGGUCUUUCAAGUCGGUGGUUAAAGGCUACGGCUCAACCGUAGUUAGCCUCCGAAACUGGAAGACUUGAGUGCAGGAGAGGAAAGUGGAAUUCCCAGUGUAGCGGUGAAAUGCGUAGAUAUUGGGAGGAACACCAGUAGCGAAGGCGGCUUGCUGGACUGCAACUGACACUGAGGCACGAAAGAGUGGGUAGCAAACAGG
rnacentral:rRNA from 1 species